GCGGGAGUAACUCAGUUGGUAGAGUGUCACGUUGCCAACGUGAUUGUCGCCGGUUCGAGUCCGGUCUCCCGCU
rnacentral:tRNA from 1 species